GAACCAAGUGAACAGGCGAAGGUAUAUGUACAAAUCAGAAGAGAUAGUUUUUUUUCUUUCCCAGAAUUCUGUCGGCAUUGUUAUAAGAGCGACUAGACGCUCGCAGAAGCUUGCAGGUUUUUGUAACUGUGAAGUAUGGCGAAGGUUUCAAGCUUGAGCAUGUUGAUCAUUCUGGUAUUUUCUCUAUCCACGUUCAAACAAGGAGGUAUGGUGCUCGCUGAUGCAAUGCCGUCGCAUAGCUAUAGUAAGUGUGGGCGUCAUCCGCGAUGUACGACCCGUCCGACUACGAGGCGGCCUACGCGUAUUUUAACAAGACCUACGACACCACGUCCAUGUGGCUAGCGAGCCGAAGGACACCCUUUGAACCCUGCUCGAGUAAUGGAGAAAAACUGGGCAAAUAGCAGCAGCAAGGACUACCUAUGGAAACCUAAAUGAGCAACAACUUCGAACAUUUUUCAACAAUUUCGCCCUUCACCAUCACACAAAAGAAUGAAUCUUGUGAAUAAGAAACGUGGCCAUAUAA